rnacentral:rRNA from 1 species
GACGAACGCUGGCGGCGUGCCUAAUACAUGCAAGUCGAGCGGACAGAAGGGAGCUUGCUCCCGGAAGUCAGCGGCGGACGGGUGAGUAACACGUGGGCAACCUGCCUGUAAGACUGGGAUAACUUCGGGAAACCGGAGCUAAUACCGGAUAGGUUCUUCCCCCGCAUGGGGGAAGAUGGAAAGACGGUUUCGGCUGUCACUUACAGAUGGGCCCGCGGCGCAUUAGCUAGUUGGUGGGGUAAUGGCCCACCAAGGCGACGAUGCGUAGCCGACCUGAGAGGGUGAUCGGCCACACUGGGACUGAGACACGGCCCAGACUCCUACGGGAGGCAGCAGUAGGGAAUCUUCCGCAAUGGACGAAAGUCUGACGGAGCAACGCCGCGUGAGCGAAGAAGGCCUUCGGGUCGUAAAGCUCUGUUGUCAGGGAAGAACAAGUGCCAGAGUAACUGCUGGCACCUUGACGGUACCUGACCAGAAAGCCACGGCUAACUACGUGCCAGCCGCCGCGGUAACAC